UUUUGUAUGACAAACGGGACAGUCAAAUACGAUUUCAAUAGGUUUAAAAUGUAUUCUAUGAUUAUUUUGUACUGUUAAUUUGUAUCUAAAAGAUGGGAAAAGGCUUAAAUAUGUCAUCGAAAAAGGCUUAUAUAUGUCAUUAAUUAAAAGUUUGGCUCAUUUAUGUCAUUAUCGUUAAAGAAAUUCAUGCUAUUAUUUUUUAACUAUGGUUUUGUGAAACUAUUUUUGAUACGUAGAAA
rnacentral:misc_RNA from 1 species